AAUCAAUUCGUAAACUGUAUUAGGAUAGUGCUUAAGCCGUUAAUCGGUAGUACGCCCGUUACAAUCUUGGAGCUCUAUCUUUAUUCUGCUCUGUUCUCUUUCUUUUAUACUGACACCAGACACAAGCUUGAGGUCCUGGCAGAGAAAUUUAAUGGUGAUUUAGAUCUGGAUUUGAUUGAGUAGUAGGUAGAGGAUUUGAGAAUUCCAGGAGUUGAAGAUAGAGCUGCUGACAGAAUUCAACAUGGGAUAUAGUAGUGCCAGUAGUGCCGGUAGUGCCAGCAGUGCCAGCAGUGUCAGUAGUGCCAGCAGUAGCCAGUUGAUAAAGAAUAUAAGCAUUGACAAUAGCAUGAUCAAUAAUCCAAUAUAGAAUUGACAACCACAUGCGAUUGGUAGGACAGGUGGUUCCACAAGCUCCAAUUCUUUGCUUUUGAAGAUAGUGGAAUAGAGCAAUAGAGGUGAAGUAGUUGUCCAUAUUGAUUGAGUGGCCAGCUACCUCUUUACUGUUAUUCAACUCCAUAUGCUGCUCGGAGCUCUGCUGCUGCUUGGAGCGCUGCGGCUGAUCAGGGUGCUGUUGCUUAGAGAACUGGAAAUACCUUUGAAUACCAUGAUUCUGCAGGAUGUGGGUGAGUAGAAAGGUGGAUUCUUGCAGCUGAAAGAUGAAGUACAGCAAUAUGUUGAGAAGAAAAUAUGAGAUAGUGGAUCUGUACCAGCAAAUAGAAUUGCAUAUAUUUUAGUAUGAGAAAUUAUUGACGAGGAGAUACCGAAUCCAUCUAUAUACCUACUGC
rnacentral:sRNA from 1 species